rnacentral:rRNA from 1 species
CUACACACGUGCUACAAUGGACAGAACAAAGGGCUGCGAGACCGCAAGGUUUAGCCAAUCCCAUAAAUCUGUUCUCAGUUCGGAUCGCAGUCUGCAACUCGACUGCGUGAAGCUGGAAUCGCUAGUAAUCGCGGAUCAGCAUGCCGCGGUGAAUACGUUCCCGGGCCUUGUACACACCGCCCGUCACACCACGAGAGUUUGYAACACCCGAAGUCGGUGAGGUAACCUUUAUGGAGCCAGCCGCCGAAGGUGGGRCAGAUGAUUGGGGUGAAGUCGUAACAAGGUAGCCGUAUCGGAAGGUGCGGCUGGAUCACCUCCUUUCUAAGGA